AGCAAUACAUUACAUUGUUUGGUAACGUUAUAACACCAUUUAAAAGCGAUAUAUUAUAAUGUUUGACUACAUUAAAAUACUGUUUGGAGCCCUCUUGUUAUAAAAGGAAACUAACCACUAAAAAAAAAGAAAGAUCGCUUCGCAGAGAAAGGAGAGAGAGAUCGUGAGAAAAGAGAGACAGAGAUAGAGAGAAGGGCGCCACCCAGACCAGAUCUUCUGCCAUCACCAGAUAGAGAAGGAGGAAAAAAAAACCUUGCGAUAUAGAGAUGAGAAGGAGACAGACAUUGAGAGAACUACCACCGUUAUAUAUGAUUAUGUUGGGAGAGGACAAAAAUAGAGAAAUCGUGCCUCUUCAUACACAAUAAAACACAAUAAAACAGAGAAAUUCCGCCAGUCAGACUACCAGAAUCGUUACUGAUGCAUUCAAUGAUGACAAGCCCUGGACUUCUCAACGACGCAUCAAAGAUAUUCAGUGACUCAAUAUUGUUUCACUAAGGCUGACUCCAUUUGUGGUUGCACCUUAUCAUUAUCUGGCCCACCAAGUGGAUAUGAUGGUGGGCAUGGUAUUGGUGGUCGAGGGGGGUUAUGGUGGUGCUUCUGCUGAGGCCCUAGAUGUGACAACUAAAGAACUAAGGGAGCUUUUUGGAGGCAUUGGACAAGUCUCCAUUCCCAGUGCAUUGAGUUUGCUCUCAGUUAUUGAUGGCAAAGGCAAAACAAGAAGGCAGAUCUUCUUUAACUUCAUUCCAUGAAUCCUCUCCUGGAUUAGGAUCACCAUACCUCUGGCUUAGAUCGCCACGAUCUGAGGAAGGAGGUUUGCAAUUGAUAGAACUUCUUGGAGAAUGUGCUAGCCAUGUAACUGCCAGAUGUCUUCAUAGUGUUAAUACCAGGCUUGAACAUAUUUCCUAUCUUGCCUCUCCUAAAGGCACUGUAAUUCAGCGAAUUGCUUCAUAUUUCAUUGAGGCAUUUGCUAAUAGGAUGCUUAAAGGCUUUAUUGGUCUCAUUUGCAGUAAAAACAUGAUGUGUUCCAGGAAUCAAAAUUUCGUUGGAUGAAAGUUAAGUUCAAAACUAACCCAUCAAGGUAGCUGGGUUUUUUUUUUUGUUUUUUUGUUUUAUUUAUAAAUUUGAGCUUACCAAGUAAUAUUUCUACAAUCACUUGAUAAUUUUAGGCUAUUUAGCAAUAGGCGCUAUCAUUUGCCUAGCCA